rnacentral:rRNA from 1 species
AUGAAGGGAUUGCGUGUGCACCGUGUCAAGAUUUUAGAUGCUCACAUGCAUGCUCUUAGUCUGGAUGCUGUUAUUGACUUGAUGAGAUGCUUUUCAUGCUUGGAAACGCUGUACAUCCAGGAGAGGAGCAUGCCUCGAGAUAAAAGAAAAACAUCAGCAUAUUUUUUGGAGCAAAAAAAAGAAGACUUCAGCAAGCAGACUGGGCCGACCGGGCUACGCCAUGAAUGGGCUUUGAUUCAUUCUGCUACGUCCUCGUUGUGCGAUCCGCCAGGCGCCCACGCGCAUUGCAUUUCCCCCAAAACCGUCGCCGCCGCCCAUCUCCUCUGCUCGUGUCGGCUCCGGCACAGUCCGCCAGCCAUGGGGACGGAGCCAGGCGCUCCUCCUGGUCCUAGCUCCAGGAAGAGGAAAGCGCUGGUGCCCGCGGAUAUAGAAGUGGAGGGCCCGGGAGCGCCCCUUCCCGGAAUGGAUGGGGACGGAGGAGGCGAGGGCGCCGGCGGCGACCGCACCACCGACCUCCCCGGCGCCUUCCUCGGGCACAUCUCAACUGGACCCGGGAAAAGCAACUGCUGGCGCCGUAAACACCGGGAUCUUAUAAGAUCUCUUGACAUCCGUCUCAAGACAAUUGUUUGGCGACAUUAUCGGGGCAUCAAGUCACAUGUUGACUUCGCCACAUUCUUUAUACUAAACGCUGGAGUGCUGGAAUUGAUGACUUUUGAGGUUAAUUCUGAAGACUACAAUGAGGAGUUCUUUGCACAACACCUUAAACAUGCUAUUCAUGAUGUCAGUUUGUUGAAACCGACUUUUGCUGAUGUGCACUUAUUUGGUGAUGACAAAGUACAGAUCUGUGUGUCCUCUGAACAUCAAUGUGAUGUUUGUCUGUUAAAUCUUUUUGUAAAGCCAUGCAACUUGGUCUCUCUCUCAUCAAGUGGGGAUCUAUCACUUCAGCCGAAACAAAAAAUAUGGGUCCUCGUCUUGGAAGCAAGCAAGGAGUUGUUGAACUGCUCUGAUCAAGCUUGGUGUUGGCCGAUGUGCCGUCGAUCUGCUGGCAUUGUUUUUUGGAAGGUAAAUGUAUAUUUCGUCAGCAGCAGAGUGAUGAUACCAGCGGGUAGAGAGGCACACUGGCUGAAGUUGUUGAGAGCUGCCAACGCAGGGCAGCCUCCUGACCUGUUCCUUGUGCUGAUGCUAGUUAUGCUACAGGAAGUGAGGAUAUUAUCGCGGUUUCAAGCAAGAAGCUAA